rnacentral:rRNA from 1 species
GUAGCUUGCUACCGGACCUAGCGGCGGACGGGUGAGUAAUGCUUAGGAAUCUGCCUAUUAGUGGGGGACAACAUCUCGAAAGGGAUGCUAAUACCGCAUACGUCCUACGGGAGAAAGCAGGGGAUCUUCGGACCUUGCGCUAAUAGAUGAGCCUAAGUCGGAUUAGCUAGUUGGUGGGGUAAAGGCCUACCAAGGCGACGAUCUGUAGC